GCGAGCGCAGGUCGUGUCCCGGGUCUGAGGGCGCCGCCCCAGCUCCCCGCGCCCUCCUGGUCCCUCUGCUCCCAGAGCCUCGGGCCUCCCUGGAGCCGGGGAGCCGCCGCCGCUUGUCCGCUUGUUUCGUGCGCGCCCCCGGCCCCGCGGCCGCAGCUGCUUCGUGGAGGCCGCGGAGGUGGGACCUGCUUGUGUCGGUGCGUGGACAGGUCUCAGGUGUGGUGCAGAGAGAACUAGUCCAGUCCAGGCAGCUGAGGACCUAGGGUGACCGUCUUGCGCAUGCGUUAAUCACAGGGAAGGAUUUCAACUGCUCUGGCUGGUGUGUGGGCCAAGCAUUAUUCAUCUGCCUCCAGACUGCCCAGUGCUCUGCUUCCACUCCUAUCCCUCUUCCUGAAGGAACUUCUUAGGCUGAGAGACGACAUUCCCUUAGAAUUCUAGAAGUUGCAAAAGGAAAUGGACUCAGUGGUUCUUGAGGAUGUGGCUGUGGUCUUUAGCCAGGAAGAGUGGGCGUUGCUGGAUGUUGCUGAGAGGAAACUCUACAGAGAUGUGAUGAUGGAAACCUUCAGAAACCUGACCUCAGUAGCAGUCAUACAAUAGAGAACUUCCAUGAAAGUAAUGAGGGCACUCAGUCUUGGAAAACGUUCAGCUGGAUUCCAGAUCUUACUGCGCUCAAAAGAAACCCUCCAGGAAUAAACUGUUUUGAAUACUCUGAUUGUGGAAAGGUCUUCAUGGAUCACUCAGCAUGUAACCAUCAUAUCAGAUCUUCCACCAGAUGCAGUGCCUUUCAGGGUAAGGGAUGUGGAGAAUCCUGCAGCUGUUCCUCUCACUUAACCACGCCUUUGAGAGUUCUUCAUGGAAAUAAACGCCAUAAAUGUAAGGUGUCUGGGAAGGAUAUGAUUUGUAUGUCAACCCUUAAGAAUCCUGUGCCAGCACUCACUGGUGAGAAAUGCUACGAAUGUAACAAAUGUGGGAAAGGAUUUUGUAGUUUGUCAUCCCUUUGUACACACGUGAGUGGUCAUAAGCAUGCAUGUAAAGAAUGUUGUAAAAUCUGUAGUCCUUCAUCCCUCAUUUUACCUAAAAAAUGUCCUAACAGAGAAAAGCCUUAUGAAUGUGUGGAAUGUGGGAAAGCCUUUUGUUAUUUCUCAGCCCUUAGUGUGCAUAAAAGGACUCACAGUGGAGAAAGGCCUUAUGAAUGGAAACAGUGCGGGAAAGCCUUUAUUUGUUCCUCCCGCCUCAAUUCACAUAUAAGAACUCACAGUGGA